GACGAACGCUGGCGGCGUGCUUAACACAUGCAAGUCGAACGGAAAGGCCCUGCUUUUGUGGGGUGCUCGAGUGGCGAACGGGUGAGUAACACGUGAGUAACCUGCCCUGGACUUGGGGAUAACUUCAGGAAACUGGGGCUAAUACCGGAUAGGAGCUCCUGCUGCAUGGUGGGGGUGGGAAAGUUUCGGCGGUUGGGGAUGGACUCGCGGCUUAUCAGCUUGUUGGUGGGGUAGUGGCUUACCAAGGCUUUGACGGGUAGCCGGCCUGAGAGGGUGACCGGCCACAUUGGGACUGAGAUACGGCCCAGACUCCUACGGGAGGCAGCAGUGGGGAAUAUUGCACAAUGGGCGGAAGCCUGAUGCAGCAACGCCGCGUGCGGGAUGACGGCCUUCGGGUUGUAAACCGCUUUCGCCUGUGACGAAGCGUGAGUGACGGUAAUGGGUAAAGAAGCACCGGCUAACUACGUG
rnacentral:rRNA from 1 species